UCCUCCUCACGGUGAGCCAUCUCAAUUAAAAUCAUAAAUCAUAAAUCAAAUUGGCAAGUAUACCUGGGCAGCCUCUCAAUUAAAAUAGCUAUCGUCACAUCCCAAGAGCAAUACAAAAACCUUAAAGACCUUCGAUGGCAAAGAUUUGAACAGCACCUGCAUCAAUUAAAGAAACAACAAUCUUGCAUCAUUAACUUUCAAAUUACUGAGUUCACUAUGAUUAAUCAUUAAUCUAGCUUACCAGAUAGUUUUCCUGCUAAAGGGGGUGGAAGAAUCUAAAAAGAGAACUGCUGCAACAUCGGCCAGCGCGAGGAAGAAGACGCCCGAACGCACCAGGCGAGAGG
rnacentral:lncRNA from 1 species